rnacentral:pre_miRNA from 1 species
AGCUUUUGGGAUCCAUGCUGAAAUCUCGUCAGACAAAAACCCAUUAGGGCUGGUCAGACUUCCAAGAUAACUGAAGUU